UAUUUAAUCUUUUCUGUGCGUUUACUAUCGUUAAAAAAAUAGUAAAUAAAUAAUAUAAGCAAUAUAUUAUGGCAAAUUUACAUUUUUUUGACAAUAGCAUGUGCUUAAUGGUCGAUAAGAAAUUACGAAACAUGUUCGAAGACGGAUAUUUUAUUAUACUUUAGUUUGUGACGUAUUAACUGUAGAUUCUGCUGGUAAAAGCCAGAACCUUAUUGUCAAUGUCAACAGUGAUGUUUUCAUGAACCAGUCAAUGUUUGUCUGAAAUUCUUAAACUUGGGUAUCAACGCUUAUACCUAGUAAGCCUAGUAUAUAAAAACAAAAGCGUUUGGUAUUUAGGAUUUCAGUAAGAACCAUACAAAUUGAGUUUCCAAAAUGAAUCCACAAGAAAUUUCAAUCCCAGUUCCUUGGGGACAUAUUGCCGCGAAACUUUGGCGGAAAUCCGGUGCAGACGGCGACCGUGGCGAACGGGUCAUGUGCCUACACGGUUAUUGGGACAACUGCGCGUCGUUCGAUGGACUGAUUCCGGCGUUGGACGGCGGCCGCACUUACCUGUGCUUCGACUGGCCGAACCACGGUGGCUCGUCGGGCACGCCGCCGGGCGUGCGGUGGACGAUGGAGAACUACGCGCUGACCAUCAGGCGCGUGGCCGACCACGUCGAGUGGUCGUCGUCGCCGUUCGCGUGCAUCGGCCACAGCAUGGGCGGACAGGUGGCCUUGCUGUUCGCGGCCGUCUACCCGGAAUGCGUGGCGUGGCUCGCGCUGCUGGACACGGCCGGGCCGGUGGCCAUGUAUCCGGAGGAAGUGACGUGGAGCAUGCGCCGGGCCGCCGACGAACUGCUGAGACUCGAGAACAAGAUGGCGGCCGACCCUGCACCGCCGCCGUCGUACGUUCGUCCGGAAGCGGCGUUGGCUCGCGUCAGACGGCGGGCUUCCGGGUCGCUGCUCGACAAGGGGCCCGCCCGGUCGUUGAUGGCCCGGUACUUGCGGCCCGGGCCCGGCGCCGGCGAAUUCCGGCUGGCCAACGACGUGCGGCUGAGCGUGCCGUACAGCCAGUGGUUUUCGGCCGCACAGCACUGGGACGUGGUGAACAACGUCAGGUGUCCCGCGUUGCUGAUCAGGGCGUCGGACAGCGACGCGUACUUCGACGACGUGUACGGCGUCUUCGUGGACAUGUACCGACGAAAUCCGAAUUUCCGCACGGUGUCGGUGGACGGCAAUCACGACGUGCACAUGAACAAUCCGCGCGCGGUGGCCACGCUGAUCGACAGGUUCUCGAACAACAAACCGGGCAGUAAACUAUAACCGCUGCUGCGCAGGUACCUACCUACCCGCGAACGGCGUAGGCACGAUGCAUCAUUUAUAAUUACAGUGAAAUUUCUAUAUAACGAACUUCCAUUAACCGACAUUUUCUGUUUAACGAAAUAUGUUUAAGAACUAUGACCUUCAGUGUUAAUUACACGUAAGUUUAUCUCCAAAUAACGAAUCUGAUGUUUCUAUAUAACGAAAUAAUUAUUCGAUAAAAACUGGUUUUUGUAAAUGUUGUCACUAUCAAAUUUUAGUCAUAGUUCUAAAAUUGUACAUGAACAGUGUAUCCGAUAAAGAUAGGACACCGAAGGUAGGCAAACUGAUUAAUAUUUCAUUUUACUGCAGUACUUCAGUUCCAAUAUAUUGAUGCAAACGAGUUUACUACGAAUUUUCUUUCGUUUUCUCUUCGUCCGUACAGAAAAAAUGUCGAAACGUUAAAGAAGACGAAGAGGAACAUGCAGUAGUGAGUAGAACAAACCAAACUCACAGAAGAAGACAUAUUAAACGGUUUAUCAGUGUUAAGGUUGAAAGGGAGACCACUAAGUUUAUGGUGUUUUGGGUCCAAUUGAUCCGGGCUCACAAUCGUCAUCAAUCGUGAGCACACUUUUUCGAGGUCAGUGGUGGUGUAGUGUAUAACGCAUAUUAUAAUGAAGUAUGAUGCACAUUAACGCGGUGAUCUCGAAACCAUGAUUGUAUGCGUAUUAUUGAUAAACAUAAAUAAAUUGAGUUUAAUUUUUUUUUAAUAGAUGUCUCUUAGUUUUUAUGUUACAUUUUAACGAUGAAGCAAUAGUGCGCGUCAACGCGUCCAUAGGUACCUACUACGUAUACUUGUGCCUUACGUAUAACGGUGCAGUUGUAAGGAUUUUGUCAAUCAACUUGUAAACAAAAACUCGAGUUUUUAAAAAUUGGGGAGUUUAAGUAA